CAGUGAAACUAGAGCAGACUUUUAUGAAAAAAAUUAGAGAUUAUGUAUGAGCAUCCAAGUGCACAAAAUAAAGCCUAUUUAUUCAAAAGAUUGGUGAAUUUAAAAUAUAAAGAUGGGCAUAAUGUAUCUGAGCAUAUGAGUGAUUUUUUAAGCUUGGUGAACCAUAUGAUAACUAUGAAAAUUAUGUUAGAUGGUGAGUUGCAGGCAUUGUUGCUAUUUAGUUCUUU
rnacentral:lncRNA from 1 species